GACAUGGCUCAGGAUGAACGCUAGCUACAGGCUUAACACAUGCAAGUCGAGGGGCAGCAUGGACCCAGCUUUGCUGGGUUUGAUGGCGACCGGCGCACGGGUGAGUAACGCGUAUCCAAUCUGCCCUUUACUCCGGGAUAGUCUCCUGAAAGGGAGUUUAAUACCGGAUGUGUUUGUUUUUCCGCAUGGGAGCGACAAAUAAAGAUUAAUUGGUAAAGGAUGGGGAUGCGUCCCAUUAGCUUGUUGGCGGGG
rnacentral:rRNA from 1 species